UCAUGACAGUUAGAUUCAGCAUAUCAAAGAACCCCAAUUAUUCAAUUUUGAUGAAAUCAAACAAAAGUUUAAUUUUGGACCCUUUGGGCCCCUUAUUAUGUUGGGACCAAAACUCCCAAAAUCAAACCCAACCUUUCUUUUAUGGUCAUAAACCUUGUGUUUCAAUUUCAUAGAUUUCUAUUUACUUAUACUAACGUUAUGGAGCAAAAACCAAGAAAAAUGCUUAUUUGGGUCCCUUUUUGGCCCCUAAUUCCUAAACUGUUGGGACCUAAACUCCCAAAAUCAAUACCAACCUUCCUUUUGUAGUCAUUAACAUUGUGUUUAAAUUUCAUUGAUUUCUAUUUACUUAAACUAAUGUUAUUGUGCGAAAACCAAGAAUAAUGCUUAUUUGGGCCCUUUUUUUGGCCCUUAAUUCCUAAACUGUUGAGACCAAAACUCCCAAAAUCAAUCCCAACCGUUCUUUUGUGGUCAUAAACCUUGUGUCAAAAUUUCAUAGAUUUCUAUUAACUUAAACUAAAGUUAUAGUGCGAAAACCAAGAAAAUGCUUAUUUGGGCCCUUUUUGGCCCCUAAUUCCUAAAAUGUUGGAACCAAAACUCCCAAAAUCAAUACCAACCUUCCUUUUGUGGUCAUAAACCUUGUGUUAAAAUUUCAUAGAUUUCCAUUCACUUUUACUAAAGUUAGAGUGCGAAAACUAAAAGUAUUCGGACGACGGACGACGACGACGACGCCGACGCACGUGAUAGCAAUAUACGACGAAAAUUUUUUCAAAAUUUGCGGUCGUAUAAAAAG
rnacentral:lncRNA from 1 species